AGUCGGACGGGUCAUCGCCGCGGCCGCAGGGUCGGGGAGGAAAGUCCGGGCUCCACAGGGCAGGACGCUGGGUAACUCCCAGGGGGAGCGAUCCCCGGAAAGCGCAACAGAGAGUAGACCGCCUCCGGUUUUCGGAGGUAAGGGUGAAAGGGUGGGGUAAGAGCCCACCGGCGGGUGUGGUGACAUGCCCGGCCAGGCAAGCCCCGUCCGGAGCAAGACCAAAUAGGAAAGUGUUUGAGGCCGGCCCGGCCGAUACUUUCGGGUAGGUUGCUUGAGGCGGCGGGUAACCGUCGCCCUAGAGGAAUGAUGACCGCCCCGUAUGGGGAACAGAACCCGGCUUAUGUCCGGCU
rnacentral:RNase_P_RNA from 1 species